UUCGACUGUUUUNNCCAAAAACAUAGCUUUAAGAAUUUAUUUUAAGUGAAACUGCCCAGUGAAAACUUAAACGGCUCCGUUAUUGUGGCGGACUAAGGUAGCAUAAUCACUUGUCUUUUAAUUGGAGACUGGUAUGAAUGUCAAAACGAAAGUAAAACUGUCUCUUAAAUAAAAAAGGAAAUUAAUAUUGAGGUGAAGAAGCCUUAAUUAUAUAAAAAGACGAAAAGACCCCAUUGAAUUUAAAAAUACCUAUUAUUUAUAGUAAUUUUUAAGUUGGGGCAACUUAGGAAAAACAUUCCUACAACAAACAACACAUGAUGAUCCUUUAACAAAGAUAAAAAGACUAAAUUACCAUGGGGAUAACAGAACAAUUUUUUCUAAAAGUGCUAAUUAAAGAAAAAGUUUGUCACCUCGAUGUUGGACUGAGAACCCCUAAUGCUGCAGAAAGCACAAAGGUAGCCCUGUUCGGGCUUUAAAAUCUUACAUGAUUUGGGUU
rnacentral:rRNA from 1 species